rnacentral:tRNA from 1 species
GGGAGUGGAUAGGACCCUGGUGGGCCUCCUGGACUUCAAAUCCAGUGGCGGGCUCUAGCACAGUCCGCGGUGGGUUCGAUUCCCACACAUUCCCGCCA